rnacentral:rRNA from 1 species
UAAUACAGAGGUCCCGAGCGUUGUUCGGAUUCACUGGGCGUAAAGGGUGCGUAGGUGGUGGGGUAAGUCUGAUGUGAAAUCUCUGAGCUCAACUCAGAAAUUGCAUUAGAAACUACCUUGCUAGAGGAUUGGAGGGGGGACUGGAAUUCUCGGUGUAGCAGUGAAAUGCGUAGAUAUCGAGAGGAACACCAGUGGCGAAGGCGAGUCCCUGGACAAUACCUGACACUGAGGCACGAAAGCUAGGGGAGCAAACAGGAUUAGAUACCCUGGUAGUCCUAGCCGUAAACGGUGCACGUUUGCUGUAAAAGGAUUCGACCCCUUUUGUGGCGUAGCCAACGCGUUAAACGUGCCGCCUGGGAAGUACGGUCGCAAGAUUA